GGGUUGUAAAGUCCUGUAGAUGGGGAAGAAAAGGACGGUACCCAUUGAAAAGCCCCGGCUAACUACGUGCCAGCAGCCGCGGUAAUACGUAGGGGGCAAGCGUUGUCCGGAGUGACUGGGCGUAAAGGGCGUGUAGGCGGACAGAUAAGUGUAAUGUCAAAGCCCCGGGUAACCCCGGGAAGAGGCAUUACAAUAACAUCAGUCUUGAGGAAGGAUAGGGAAGCGGAAUUCCCGGUGAGCGGUGCUAAAUGCGUAGAUAUCGGGAGGAAUACCGGUGGCGAAGGCGGCUUCCUGGACUUAUCCUGACGCUGAGGCGCGAAAGCGUGGGGAGCAAACAGGAUUAGAUACCCUGGNAGUCCACGCUGUAAACUAUGGAUACUAGUGUGGGAGGUUAGACCUUCCGUGCCGCAGCUAACGCAAUAAGUAUCCCGCCUG
rnacentral:rRNA from 1 species